UCUGAAAAAGCGUUCAUUUUUUCAUGCAAAAAACUUGCUUGUAAAAUAUGGACAUCCAAUGACGAGGCAAAAGCCUGAAUACCGAGGAUCAUCUGGCUCUCGAAGAAAUGAAAAACCAAAAAAAAUAAGAAACGCAGGUAGCUUGAAUAAAAAGACUCUCACCAUAGGGAAAGCUUUGACACAGCAUGGAAGAAUAAAUAAGAACAAAAAUGUCCGUUUCGACUUCUUCACUUCUUUUUU